UAAUACGGAGGGUGCAAGCGUUAUCCGGAUUCACUGGGUUUAAAGGGUGUGUAGGCGGGCUUGUAAGUCAGGGGUGAAAUCCUACAGCUUAACUGUAGAACUGCCUUUGAUACUAUGAGUCUUGAAUAUUGUUGAGGUAGGCGGAAUACAUCAUGUAGCGGUGAAAUGCUUAGAUAUGAUGUAGAACACCGAUUGCGAAGGCAGCUUACUAAGCAAAUAUUGACGCUGAGGCACGAAAGCGUGGGGAUCAAACAGGAUUAGAUACCCUGGUAGUCCACGCCCUAAACGAUGAUUACUCGACGUGCGCGAUACACUGUGCGCGUCUGAGCGAAAGCAUUAAGUAAUCCACCUGGGAAGUACGUCCGCAAGGAUG
rnacentral:rRNA from 1 species